rnacentral:rRNA from 1 species
CCUACGGGGGGCAGUAGUGGGGAAUAUUGGACAAUGGGGGCAACCCUGAUCCAGCCAUGCCGCGUGUGUGAAGAAGGCCCUCGGGUUGUAAAGCACUUUCAGUGAGGAAGAACGCCUGGUGGUUAAUACCCAUCAGGAAAGACAUCACUCACAGAAGAAGCACCGGCUAACUCCGUGCCAGCAGCCGCGGUAAUACGGAGGGUGCGAGCGUUAAUCGGAAUUACUGGGCGUAAAGCGCGCGUAGGUGGCUUGAUAAGCCGGUUGUGAAAGCCCCGGGCUCAACCUGGGAACGGCAUCCGGAACUGUCAAGCUAGAGUGCAGGAGAGGAAGGUAGAAUUCCCGGUGUAGCGGUGAAAUGCGUAGAGAUCGGGAGGAAUACCAGUGGCGAAGGCGGCCUUCUGGACUGACACUGACACUGAGGUGCGAAAGCGUGGGUAGCAAACAGGAUUAGAUACCCCAGUAGUC